CACACUGCCGAGAAAAGCCUCUAGAUAGAAAAUAGGUGCCCGUACCGCAAACCGACACAGGUAGUCAAGAUGAGAAUUCUAAGGUGAGCGAGCGAACUCUCGUUAAGGAACUCGGCAAAAUGACCCCGUAACUUCGGGAGAAGGGGUGCUCUUUAGGGUUAACGCCCAGAAGAGCCGCAGUGAAUAGGCCCAAGCGACUGUUUAUCAAAAACACAGGUCUCUGCUAAACCGUAAGGUGAUGUAUAGGGGCUGACGCCUGCCCGGUGCUGGAAGGUUAAGAGGAGUGGUUAGCUUCUGCGAAGCUACGAAUCGAAGCCCCAGUAAACGGCGGCCGUAACUAUAACGGUCCUAAGGUAGCGAAAUUCCUUGUCGGGUAAGUUCCGACCCGCACGAAAGGCGUAACGAUUUGGGCACUGUCUCAACGAGAGACUCGGUGAAAUCAUAGUACCUGUGAAGAUGCAGGUUACCCGCGACAGGACGGAAAGACCCCGUGGAGCUUUACUGUAGCCUGAUAUUGAAAUUCGGCACAGCUUGUACAGGAUAGGUAGGAGCCUUUGAAACGUGAGCGCUAGCUUACGUGGAGGCGCUGGUGGGAUACUACCCUA
rnacentral:rRNA from 1 species